UACGGGGGGGAGCAAGCGUUGUUCGGAUUUACUGGGCGUAAAGGGCGCGUAGGCGGCGCAACAAGUCACUUGUGAAAUCUCCGGGCUUAACCCGGAGCGGUCAAGUGAUACUGUCGUGCUAGAGUGCGGAAGGGGGCUACUGGAAUUCUCGGUGUAGCGGUGGAAUGCGCAGAUAUCAGGAGGAACACCGGUGGCGAAGGCGGAUCUCUGGGCCUGUCCUGACGCUGGAGGCGCGAAAGCUAGGGGAGCGAACAGG
rnacentral:rRNA from 1 species